rnacentral:lncRNA from 1 species
CUUUUCUCUGUUGCAGCCAAUCUGCCUUCUGGUCCUAAGUAGAUCAUCAGGGGCACUCCAGGAUGCCACAUACCUUGGUUUGAAGGAGUCCUGGCCACAAUUCCAAAUCUCUGCCUCAGUCUUGUUAGCAUGACUGUCUGUGUGGAUGAGGACGUAUCUUAGGGUGCAGAGAUGACCAUCUCCAUGACAGCUGCCCCCCCCAAUAGCCUGAUAAGCAAUGUGAAGGCAGGUGACGUGGGAGAUUGGUGUUGAAAUUCCUGGAAAAAAGUAGAAUGUUUGCCAUCAGUCUCUCCUUGUGGCCUUGGUCACAUUAAAAAUAAGGAAGAGUUUGGAAAACUGAAGACAGAAGAGGGUUCACCCUCCCGUUAGCUGGGCCAUGUCAGGAGUGGUCAAGGCUGCUUUGCAGGGAAGUCAUCUCUGCCCUUUCUUGGGGCAGCCGCUCACACGGGGGGACUGGGGCUGCAUUCGUCUUGUGACCAAGUCGUGGGCAGGCUUGAUGAACACAAGGCUCCUCUGCUCAGAGGGAGUAGGAUCGGGGCCCUAGGAAUGCCAUCCCCCAUCUCUGGAUGUGUUGGGCAGUGCUUUCCCCUCUGAAAAGGCCACGCGCCUCCCCAAGUUUGUCGAGAACUUAGCAAGUGAGGCCCCCCUUGGAUUCACAGUGCCCCAUUCCCAUUCCACCUGAGCUCUGAGCUCAGAGUUCAGCUUAAACCUUGGGUUAGUGAACUUAGCAGCCACUGUCCUCAGUGCAGAUCACCCAGCCUCCUCCUGCCUGUGGCCCAUGCCAUGGGGCAGGAAUGGUCCAAGUUCAAUUCUGUAUGCACGGCCUAAGAGCUCCCAGCUGUGCGUGUGUGUGUGCGCGUGUGCAUGCGUGAGCAUGUGUGUGUACGGACGGGUACAUGUGUGAGUGUGCGUGCAUGCCUGUGUAGAGGGCAAGAGAUGGGGAUAACAAAUAGAACACAGUACCUCACCCUGGAGACCAUCCACCAGGUUCCUUUAAGAUGUCACUAAGGCUGAGGCCGCCAAUGAACUGACCCCAGAUUCCUGUCACACUGCUGGUGUCCCUGGAGGGCUUCAAGCCUGGAGGAAAGAGGGCACAGGCUUGGGGGCCAGUGGAGAUGUCACCCACACCUUCCCACUGUCGUGGGUCACCAGGGUGACCAACCCUCACCCCUGCAGGCCCUGGAAGGUCAGUUCUCAUGAAAGGUGUUAUCCAGAGAGCCAGGCCCAGCCAAGCGGACCUAAUUAGCUGUAUUUGUGGUCCUUGAGGUUUGGCAAUU